UGCAGUCGAGCGGAGUUGAUAGGAAGCUUGCUUCCUUGAUACUUAGCGGCGGACGGGUGAGUAACACGUAGGCAACCUGCCCUCAAGUUUGGGACAACUACCGGAAACGGUAGCUAAUACCGAAUAGUUGUUUUCUUCGCCUGAAGGAAACUGGAAAGACGGAGCAAUCUGUCACUUGGGGAUGGGCCUGCGGCGCAUUAGCUAGUUGGUGAGGUAACGGCUCACCAAGGCGACGAUGCGUAGCCGACCUGAGAGGGUGAUCGGCCACACUGGGACUGAGACACGGCCCAGACUCCUACGGGAGGCAGCAGUAGGGAAUCUUCCGCAAUGGGCGAAAGCCUGACGGAGCAAUGCCGCGUGAGUGAUGAAGGUUUUCGGAUCGUAAAGCUCUGUUGCCAGGGAAGAACGCUUGGGAGAGUAACUGCUCUCAAGGUGACGGUACCUG
rnacentral:rRNA from 1 species